rnacentral:rRNA from 1 species
GUGAGGAAUAUUGGUCAAUGGGCGGGAGCCUGAACCAGCCAAGUCGCGUGAGGGACGACGGUCCUAUGGAUUGUAAACCUCUUUUGUCGGGGAACAAAGGCGCCCACGGGUGGGCGGAUGAGUGUACCCGAAGAAAAAGCAUCGGCUAACUCCGUGCCAGCAGCCGCGGUAAUACGGAGGAUGCGAGCGUUAUCCGGAUUUAUUGGGUUUAAAGGGUGCGUAGGCGGACGGUCAAGUCAGCGGUAAAAAUGCGGUGCUCAACGCCGUACAGCCGUUGAAACUGGCAGUCUUGAGUGGGCGAGAAGUAUGCGGAAUGCGUGGUGUAGCGGUGAAAUGCAUAGAUAUCACGCAGAACUCCGAUUGCGAAGGCAGCAUACCGGCGCCCGACUGACGCUGAGGCACGAAAGCGUGGGUAUCGAACAGG